rnacentral:misc_RNA from 1 species
UCAGCCAAUUGAUUUCGAUUUUCCAUUACUGAAUUUAACUAGUUUUAAUGUCUUUUUCAAUUAGAAACCUAUCAAGAAUAGCGCAGCAGUGUUACAAAACCUACAAAGAUAUGACUAAAACAAGCACUCGGAAACUGCAGAUGUGCGGUACGGAGGAGGAAAUGCGCGAGGUGGCAGGCAGGAUUUGCAGGAAUUACCUCCACGGAGCCUGGAAGACUGUGGACCCUUCGGAGCUGGACUUCAAGAGGAUCAGCGGCGGCCUGUCAAACUUCCUGUACUACGUGGCGCUACCAGACGACCUGUCGAAAGCCAAGCUGCGUGAGUCGGUGUCAGUCGAGGACCCCGGCCUUGUGGGGGGUAUGAUGAGCAAGUCGUUUUCGAGCGAGGAACCUAAAAAGGUUCUGCUGCGGAUAUACGGACAAGUCCACGGUCCCCGGGCCAUGGACGCCAUAGUGACUGAAUCUGUCAUUUUCACACUGCUAUCGGAGCGGCGGCUCGGGCCGAAACUGUACGGGGUGUUCUCUGGAGGCAGGAUUGAGGAGUAUAUUCCUGCCCGACCCCUUCUUACAAAAGAGCUAUCUGAGCCGGCUCUCUCCAUGAAAAUAGCUGAAAAAAUGGCCGCCAUACAUUCCAUGGACAUCCCUCUGUCGAAGGAACCCAACUGGCUUUGGAAGACCAUGGGGAAAUGGAUCAAGACUGCUAAAGAAGAGAGACUCACGGGGACUGGCAAGAACGAAGAAGAAAACAACAUAAUCAAGCGACUCAAAGCGGUGGAUUUCGAGAAAGAAGUAGAGUGGCUCAAGAAAUUUCUGGCGACCGUCGAUUCUCCCGUAGUGUUCUGUCACAACGAUUUGCAGGAAGGUAAUAUCUUAAUGCUAGAAGACGUACACACAGACGAAGAACCAACAUAUAGACUCCACUCAUAUCAAGAGGACAGCCCCAGAAAAUCCUUCGACCCACUCUCUCAAUACGAAGACGCGAACACAAUCGACUCAGAGUCGAGCCAUCUCUCCGACUCAGGCGAGCCGAAGCUAGUACUCAUAGACUUUGAGUAUUGCGCCUACAACCAUAGGGGUUUCGAUGUCGCCAACCAUUUCCAAGAGUGGGGAUACGAUUAUACGAAUCCUGAGCAUCCGUAUUAUUAUGAGAAUCAAGAGAAUUGUCCCAAUUUGGAGCAAAAGACCCUGCUCUAUGGUGUGCCAUAGACAACUCGGCUGAGGACCACGACGUUACGGUAUUUCAAAAUGGCGCCGCCACCGAGCGAAAAAAAGAAAUAUUCAUCCGCGAAUAUCUAAAGCACUACAAUUACUACGUGAAUGACUCGAAGGAUUCAACGCCAUCUAUCGACGACGUCAACCAUCUACUCAACGAAGUCGACGCGUUUACAAUCGCGACGCACCUCUUGUG